UGAUCUUCUUUUAACAAGCCUGGUCUGUAC
rnacentral:piRNA from 1 species